AAAGAAAAGUUAAUAAACGGCAUGGGUCUUGGUGGGGAAUUUCCGUAGAUCACAGUAGAACCCCAGCUCACCCAUGGCCAUCUGGAGAAGGAGCAACAGCCAGCAUCAACAGUGCUGCAGAAGAGUUACCAUAAGAUUACACCAAGCAUCAUUUGCAAAUGACACCGAGUUGGGAGAAACUAGAAUCAGAAGUGGC